rnacentral:rRNA from 1 species
UACGUAGGGAGCAAGCGUUGUCCGGAAUCAUUGGGCGUAAAGCGCGCGUAGGUGGCUUCGUAAGUCCGUUGUGAAAGUCAAAGGCUCAACCUUUGAACGCCGAUGGAUACUGCCGGGCUAGAGUCCGGAAGAGGCGAGUGGAAUUCCUGGUGUAGCGGUGGAAUGCGCAGAUAUCAGGAGGAACACCAAUAGCGAAGGCAGCUCGCUGGGACGGUACUGACGCUGAGGCGCGAAAGCGUGGGGAGCGAACAGG